rnacentral:lncRNA from 1 species
CCCUUUUUAGCGUUAAGAAGAGGAAGAGUCUUUCUUCUUUAAGACUCUUAACCACUUCUUAAUUUCACCGAUUCCUUAAUUGUCACAUGCCUAAAAUAAAUGAGAAAAUUAUGGGGUAUAGAAGAGGAAGAGUCCUUCUUUGUGAAGCCUCUUCUGUGCCACUUAAUUCAUCAAAGAAUUUAUUUCUCUGCACGAGGAAGUGGUGUGCCAAGAUUUGGCACCCCUUGGGUCUCCUUGCCAUCCCUUCUUCACCUAUUUAUAUAGGGUGCCUCUUAUGAGAUAAGGACUAAAUUUUGAUGAAAAAUCAUAGGCCUUGCCAUGUGAUAAGAGAAAAAAAAAUUGAAAAAAAUAUAAGAAAAAGAUAAGAAAAAAUUGAGUGAAAAAAUAGAAAGAAAGGAGGUGAGAAAAAUAGCAAGUGUGGUGUGCUUGUCAUAGGAUUUGAUUUUUUCAUAUGUUGGAGCAUAAAAUCAAAUCC